rnacentral:lncRNA from 1 species
GGUUAGAGACCGUAAAACCCCUCAUAGUUAGUUAACUGAAGGUGAUGUACAAGUAUUUACACAUGGACGAAAACGUUACACACGGUAACCAAGUCAUGCAUCAUCGCACGCUGUACACGUUGCAUUUUGUACGUAUGUACGUACGUGAGCGACCUUCGUAUUUAUACAUGCGUAUGCCGUAUAUGUACGUUGCGAGCAUACCAUAUAUGGUACUAACAAAGGGCAGAGGUGGACCGGCUACUG